AUUGAACGCUGGCGGCAGGCCUAACACAUGCAAGUCGAACGGUAACAGGAAGAAGCUUGCUUCUUUGCUGACGAGUGGCGGCCGGGUGAGUAAUGUCUGGGAAACUGCCUGAUGGAGGGGGAUAACUACUGGAAACGGUAGCUAAUACCGCAUAACGUCGCAAGACCAAAGAGGGGGACCUUCGGGCCUCUUGCCAUCGGAUGUGCCCAGAUGGGAUUAGCUAGUAGGUGGGGUAACGGCUCACCUAGGCGACGAUCCCUAGCUGGUCUGAGAGGAUGACCAGCCACACUGGAACUGAGACACGGUCCAGACUCCUACGGGAGGCAGCAGUGGGGAAUAUUGCACAAUGGGCGCAAGCCUGAUGCAGCCAUGCCGCGUGUAUGAAGAAGGCCUUCGGGUUGUAAAGUACUUUCAGCGGGGAGGAAGGGAGUAAAGUUAAUACCUUGGCUCAUUGACGUUACCCGCAGAAGAAGCACCGGCUAACUCCGUG
rnacentral:rRNA from 1 species